rnacentral:misc_RNA from 1 species
AAAACGAAAUUGAAUGGAAAGGGUGGCAGAGGUAGGUUCCUUGCAUUCAACGCAUCUUUCGUUAUUUAGGUUUGGGUUCGGAUUUGGGUUCGGAGUUUUGUGUAGACUUGUUCAGGAUAAGAACGACCUCCACUCUCUCUCUCUCUCUGUCUCUCCAAGUCUCUUGCAUUGCUGCUUCUCUUUAUAGAAGAACUCCAUUUUCUCUUGCAGCUACCUUGAAUUCUCCAAAGCCUUUUCUUUCUUUGAAGUUAUUAUAUAGCUUUACAUUCUCUCUCAUUAGGAGCAAAACACACGCCUUUACUCAAUAGAAGCAGAGUGCUCUGUUUUUCAUAAGCUCUAUUCAAGCUGGCAAUCGAAAAUCAGGAAACCACUAUCAAGCCUAGAAACAGGAGAAUCAUGGUAUCAAGGAGCAUUUUUUAUUUAAUUUUUUAUCUGGAUUUUGCUUUACUUGAUUUUGAAACAAUAUUCUUUGUUUGCUUGAAUGCAGCUUUUUGUUUUCUUUUGAAUUGAUUCAAUGGCCUUCAAUUUCUUUAUUUUUACCAUUUAAAGUCUGCUUGACCUGAUGCAAAUCAAUGGUCUUUUGUAUAUGUUUCGGUUCUAUUGAGUUUACUUCAUGGUUUUUUAUUGUUCUGUGUAGGGUGCUGGAGGACCUGAGGACGACGACAACAGGUGGCCGCAAUGGCUAAGGCCUUUGUUAAAGGAGAGCUUCUUUGUUCAAUGCAAGUUGCAUGCUGAUUCCCACAAGAGUGAAUGCAAUAUGUAUUGCAUGGAUUGCAUGAAUGGGUCUCUCUGCUCCCUCUGCUUAGCCUACCAUAAGGACCAUCGAGCAAUUCAGGUGUAGUAAUUGGCAGUGAAUUCACUCAUUUUCUUGAUUUCUAACCCAUUCAGGCAUCCACGUUUUAUUCCUCGCUGUUAAAAUGUUCUGUUCUCUAUAUGGGUUCUAAAUUUCUGUAUCAUUCUCGCAGAUGCUUUUUUUGUGUUAAGGAAUCCUCUGUUUUUCAAUCCUUUUAUAGCAUUUGGAAUCCAAUAUGUUAAGUUUCUUCUUUCUUGAUUGAUUUCAUUUUCAUUCCCUUUUGUUAUACAUACUUUUCUGCUUUGGGGUGAAGAUGAGGUUUCGCUAAUUUUGUUUUUCAUAUUGUGGAUAACAGCUCAAUCUUAAUUUGAGUGUAGGUUAUACAUUACCAGAAUCAGCCUUUCUUUUUUCCUAAUUUUUCUCAGUUUCCAAACAGGGCAUUUCAUUGCUAAUUAAAAUGAAUUUCCUUUCUUAAAAUAAAAGAACAAAAAGCUAUGUCAGCGAUAUUCUUAACCCAGAAUUGACAUGGGGUUUCUCCAAUUUCGAGAUUGAUUUGCAUUUUUCUGGAAGAUGAAAAAAAAAAUCAUGAAAAAAUUGAAAUGGAUAUUGUCUAACACUUGUAUUUUCUUUGUGAAUGACAGAUAAGGAGGUCCUCAUACCAUGAUGUGAUAAGGGUAUCUGAGAUACAGAAGGUGCUGGACAUAUCUGGUGUCCAGACUUAUGUAAUCAACAGUGCGAGGGUUGUUUUCUUGAAUGAAAGGCCUCAGCCUAGGCCUGGCAAAGGUGUCACAAACACCUGCGAGGUCUGCGAGCGCAGCCUUCUUGAUUCCUUCCGUUUCUGUUCCCUUGGCUGCAAGGUGUGACCACAUUGCUCUCAUUUGUUUAUUCCUUUUCUGUUUGUUUGCUGAGAAAAUUGUGGAAUUAAGGAAUGAGAAAGAAAAUUUAGACCAUUUUGUUUCUCUUUCUUUUGUUCUUCAAGGGCGUGGAAAGUUCAACUUUUGUGUGAUUGUUCAUUUCUGUGGGUAAAGUCAGUUUGACUUCUAUGAGGGUGUUCCAGUGUCUAUUGGAAAUUCCAUCCAUUUUGCCAUUAUUUUCUUAUCAACCAAACCGAUUACAACCGUGACGAAAUUGAACUGGAUUACAAACUUCUUCUGGGGUUAAUUAUAUUUUUCAGUACUCAUCAUUGAAAUGAUCUGAUUAGUUGUUGUUGUUUACACGGUAUACUGCACUUGUAAAUCAGCAUAUUUUCUCUAGAAUUUUUCUUAAAACUCAUUGCGAUCAUUGAUUGCAGAUGGUUGGGACGUCAAAGAAUUUUCAGAAGAAGAAGAAACAACAAAUAGCAAUGAUGUCUGAUUCAGAGGACUCUUACAGCAGCAGCAGCCAUGGCCGAUACAAGAACAAUAGCAACAACGACAAAGCGCAAAGCUUCUCUCCCUCCACACCUCCUCCAACUUUGGUCAGUUACCAAACUGCCAAGCGAAGAAAGGGAAUCCCCCACCGCGCCCCAAUGGGAGGACUAAGCAUAGAAUACUAGCUAUAGCCUAUAGUGCUUUUGAUCAAUUAUGCAAUCACCUGAUAUACCAACCCAAUGCUGCAGCCCCCUUGGACCAGCAUGGGAGGUUUAGUGCUUUCUAGCAUGUACAUAGAAGCAGCAGCAGCAGAAAAUAGAAGUGUCAAAGUUGGAGAAAAGGACAAUAAGAUAAAAUAUGUGGACUGGCUGGCAAAUAAUAAGAAGUAGCCCUUGUAUCGUAAAAGGAAAUUAGUUUGGCUUUUAGAGUGGAGGAGCUUAUGAUUACACUAUGUGUUGUAUGUUCUGGUAGGAGUCAUAAUUGUUCCACAAACGCUUUUCUAUAAGUAGCUGAUAUAUUUAUGCUGCAACAUAUUGGAAAAUUUAUAUCUGUUGGCUCUCCUGUAGGCUACAAGAAUAUACUGUGGAAACAGCCAUUGCUAUUGUUGUUGAUGGAAAUGCCAUCCUGAAGAUCGACACCCAGCACUUGAGGGACCUUAGCUUUCGAAUUGGUUCUGUCUACCAGUUCAUUGGUGAACUCCUUAUCCAACCUGACGAUGAGGCAAUCUUGCAGGCGCGUGUGGGUAGGAAUGUCGAUGGCAUUGACCUCAACCUUUAUCAUCAGUCAGUACAACUAUUAAGACAGUUUCAAGCUGACCACUUAAAAAAUUCCACAACUUGAUGCAACUUUGAAGUUUAAUAGACCUACCAGGGGAUUUGGAGAGAGAAUGGUGUUGAAGUAAAACUUUGGAAUUUUUUGCUUGUGUCUUUUCUUUUCUUAGUGCUAUGAACUAUAUGAUAAUGUGGUCAUAUGCAUAGUGAAACUGCUUUUAAAGCUGCAAAUUAACAGGAUCAAAAAUUCAAAAUUACUCUUAUGGCUGUAGUUUUCUUUCCUCGUUAUUUCCUUCUGUCGUAUAAUUUGUACCCAAAUUUUGUCUUGUUAGGUGAAGAUGCCUCUGUGCAACAGUGAGUGUUGUACAACAAGCUUUACCUAGAAAAGGAAAGAAAUAGAAAGACACAUUUUGUUUGGUGAAUUCUUCUCAUAACCAUCUAUUGUUGGGUAAAUUAUCAAAAACUCCAUUAU